rnacentral:rRNA from 1 species
UUCGCAAUGCCCGAAAGGGUGACGAAGCGACGCCGCGUGUGGGAAGAAGGCCUUCGGGUUGUAAACCACUGUCGGGAGUUAAGAAAUGCAAGGAUAUGAAUAGUGUCUUUGCUUGACUAAGGCUCCGGAGGAAGCCACGGCUAACUCUGUGCCAGCAGCCGCGGUAAUACAGAGGCGGCAAGCGUUGUUCGGAAUUAUUGGGCGUAAAGAGCACGUAGGCGGCUAUGUAAGUCGGUUGUGAAAGCCUUCCGCUCAACGGGAGAACAGCACCCGAUACUACAUGGCCUGAGUGCGGGAGGGGAGAGUGGAACUUCUGGUGGAGCGGUGAAAUGCGUAAAUAUCAGAAGGAACGCCGGCGGCGAAAGCGGCUCUCUGGCCCAUAACUGACGCUGAGUGUGCGAAAGCUAGGGGAGCAAACGGGAUUAGAUACCCCGGUAGUCCUAGCCGUAAACGAUGGGCACUAAGUAGAGGGGUUUUA